rnacentral:rRNA from 1 species
AGAGUUUGAUCAUGGCUCAGAGCGAACGCUGGCGGCAGGCCUAACACAUGCAAGUCGAGCGGCCGUAGCAAUACGGCAGCGGCAGACGGGAGAGUAACACGUGGGAACGUACCCUUCGGUUCGGAAUAACUCAGGGAAACUUGAGCUAAUACCGGAUACGUCCGUAAGGAGAAAGAUUUAUCGCCGAGGGAUCGGCCCGCGUCCGAUUAGCUAGUUGGUGGGGUAAUGGCCCACCAAGGCGACGAUCGGUAGCUGGUCUGAGAGGAUGAUCAGCCUCACUGGGACUGAGACACGGCCCAGACUCCUACGGGAGGCAGCAGUGGGGAAUAUUGGACAAUGGGCGCAAGCCUGAUCCAGCCAUGCCGCGUGGGUGAUGAAGGCCCUAGGGUUGUAAAGCCCUUUCGGCGGGGAAGAUAAUGACGGUACCCGCAGAAGAAGCCCCGGCUAACUUCGUGCCAGCAGCCGCGGUAAUACGAAGGGGGCUAGCGUUGCUCGGAAUCACUGGGCGUAAAGCGCACGUAGGCGGAUUGUUAAGUCAGGGGUGAAAUCCUGGAGCUCAACUCCAGAACUGCCUUUGAUACUGGCGAUCUUGAGUCCGGGAGAGGUGAGUGGAACUGCGAGUGUAGAGGUGAAAUUCG